GAAUUUGCAAGGUUUCUCUUCCUCCUCUCAAGUACAAAUAUUGGUCACUGUCAAAGAAGAAAAUUGUAUCUGGCUAGUCAAGAUUCGAUAUGUCAUGGACAGUUCUCUGUUACCCAAAAAGACAUUCAUUUAAAGAAGAUCAAGUGAUUGAAGAAAGAUUGCCAUGGAGAAAAGUCCCAGCCAUGUCCCAUCAGGACAAGAAUGUGAAAAUGAAUUCAGAUGCCAUACUGUUGGGAAGGUGGAAAUAAGCAGUGUUUUGACAUCUCUCAAAGCCAGCUGGAUAACUGCAACAUGCCGGUGUUUCCAAGAAUCCCUGGCAUGCCUUAUGAAUGUUGGACUAUUUAGCUUCAGGUUUCCUGGCCAAAAUGCACUCCUAACACUAUGUCAAGAAAAGAAACAUAUUAGCUCAUACAAUAAUUCUUAAAUCUCACUAUGUCAGACAGUGGCAACUUUCUGAAGAAACUACUGAUAGCUAUGGGGGAGAAAGAAACAUCCCAAGAGAAGGCGAUUGUAUAUAUGGAUAUGAACUGGCAACCUGAUAUACAUGAGAUGUUCAAACCCUUUGGAUCAAUUCUCUACAGUAAACUGGCAAUGCUUUGGGUUUGAGAACUCUGUUUUCCUGUUGCUAGCAGUUGCCAUGAAUUUACUGGAAGCACUGACUCAUGCUUAAUUAGUGGUGCCUUGAGUUAUUUUUGUACUGUUUUUAUGCAUUUGUAGUAUCUGCUAUUUUUAAGGCACAUAUUGUUCUUCCAAACAUGUCAUUGUAAUCUGGCGUAAUAAUUUUUCUGUAAGAUAUUGAAACCUGAAGAAAAUACCUUUUCAAUAUCUUGUUUUGACUUAAUUCCAAGCAGAAAAAUCUAUGGAUGAUAAGCUGCCCUCAUAUAAGUCAGUUAAUCAAGUAAUGGAUUGGCUAUUAACUAAUACAUGGAGUUGGCUCCGCACCUAUAUUCCUUGGAGAUAAUGAAAUGAUACCUAUUAAUAUGAUUGUACAUCUCUUUGUAAUGAAAUAGAAAACAACAGAAAACAACAUUUUUUUCCCUCUGAAGGGAGAGCAGGAAAGUGUUAAUGUCUUAAAUCCACGACAAAUCUCAGUGGAAAACAUCUUUGCUUGUAGUGUUUGUUCACCACAUGGUGCAUGCUUCAGAAGGUGCUAAAUCAGCAAAACUGCUGAAUUUGAAAUAUCGGGAACAUUCAUCUGCCUCUGAAUUCAGUUAUGCUAUGUGUAAAGAUCCUGAAUAGAAUCUGAUGGUGUAACAUCAAUGUGGAAUUGCAUAUUAAACAUACCUAACCUGUCAUUAAAAACCUCUAAUUACAGCCAUCAGAUGAGUCCCUGUGCUGCUACUUGUCAUGCUACAUGUAUAUUUCAUUUUAAUGGGAGAAGAUAGUAUUUCUGAUUAUGUCGCUUAAUGUACAAUAUAUGAAAGUUAUGGGCCUGAACCUGUUCCCAUGGAGGUCAAUGACAGUUUUGCCAUUGUCUUCAAUUAGAGCAGGAUGUGGUUUUAUGACACUAGAGUUUCAUUUGCAUUAAUUAAUUUACUUAGUAGGUAAUGAAAAUUUUGAAAAAAACAGCCCUCUGGCUCAUGAGUUUGGCACUGUGUUUAAUACUUUCAUUAGGAAUAAUUGCAUUGAUAAACUUUAAAGCAGAAAUGGUUAAGAUGGCUCAGUGUAUCAGGCAAAAUCAAGCUUACCAGUAGUUGAUUGGGAAGCCGUGAGACUGCCUUCUGUGUCCUAGCCUCAUUUGCUUUUAUUCUUUGCUAACCAAGGCUGGGAUAUCAAAUCUUUGAUGCUUAGUAGUGUAGAUGGAAGCACAAUAGUUUCAUACUUUAUCGAUUUAUAUGCUUUAUACAUCAUGGAGACGCUUGCUUAGCAGAAACCAUGGAACAGGCAGCUGGAUUUUGUGUCUGCGGUCUCAUUGGGAAUGGCAAGGACAGAUGGGUAAUGAAGCUGAGGUGGUUCUUUCAUGUGGUUGGAGCGAGGGGCUACAUUUCCAUGCAGAAGAUCCAUGUAGAUGUUUCUAAAUGCAAACACAAACUCUGCGGAAGUAGGCUCAUAUAGAGUGCUUUGAUUUCUUAAAUUAAAAGUAACAUAUCAGCCUCCUAAGUUUUUAUUUUUUAUUUUUAUUUUUUAUUUUUAUUUUAUUUUUAUUUUUAGCUGUUAAUGGCAUCUGUUAUCUAUAACAGAAUCAGGCUCAUGCCUGGGAAAAAACAAGAAGCUGUGAAAAUGGUGAUGGAGUCAAGCAAGCAGGAACGAUCUAUGCCAACUGGUGGGGAUGUAGGUUAGUCCUAAAACGCACAGUCUGAGAUUGAAGAAUUACAAGGAAUCCAUAUGUACCGCGUUGCACAGAAAGGUUACAAACCUUUCAGUCUUCCAGUGAGCUAGUGACAGCUGGAGGACUUCACUGUCACUUGCUGGAGGGGUGGAAUGAGCCAGCAGUGGAUACGCCUUUGGGAUUUCUGGGAGCUGGCUGGGUUCCACAUUCUGCCACAUAAUUCCUGUGUCAUCUUGGCAAAAUCACUUCUCCUCUUGGGCGCUGCCUCUACAGCCUGGGGGCAAUAACUCUUCCUUACCUUGUGCAGUUUUUGUUUUGGUUGGUUUUGUAAGGUGCUUAGUUACCAAGUGUCAGGAGCCAUAAAGUAUCCAGAUCAAUUGAAAACCCGUCAGUCAGAGCUUGAAAACACAUCAGUCUCUGUAUUCGGAGCUUUUUAUUAAAUUAAGAAGAAAAAAAAAAGUGAGACAAUAUUGGCUUGGGGUCUGCUUGCCCCCGUUAGCAUAUUGCUAUGAUUGUCUUUGAAUACUUUUAGCCAGGCACACUGUAGUUUAUGGACAUUAUUGUAGAAAUACUUGCUGAGAAAAGCUAUUUUAUUAAUUGAGUAGUCUCGCUGUAAACCAUGUGAUAUCCCAGAAGACACUUUAUAAAUAAAGUCUAUUUGCAUCAGGAGUUUUUCA
rnacentral:lncRNA from 1 species